rnacentral:rRNA from 1 species
UACGUAGGGGGCUAGCGUUGUCCGGAAUCAUUGGGCGUAAAGCGCGCGUAGGCGGCCCGGUAAGUCCGCUGUAAAAGUCAAAGGCUCAACCUUUGAAUGUCAGUGGAUACUGCCGGGCUAGAGUCCGGAAGAGGCGAGUGGAACUCCUGGUGUAGCGGUGGAAUGCGCAGAUAUCAGGAAGAACACCGGUGGCGAAGGCGGCCAUCUGGACCGCAACUGACGCUGAGGCGCGAAAGCGUGGGGAGCAAACAGG